rnacentral:misc_RNA from 1 species
GAAAUGCGAUAAGUAGUGUGAAUUGCAGAAUUCAGUGAAUCAUCGAAUCUUUGAACGCACAUUGCGCCCUUUGGUAUUCCUUAGGGCAUGCCUGUUCGAGCGUCAUUUAAACCUUCAAGCCCUGCUUGGUGUUGGGUGCCUGUCCCGCCUCCGCGCGCGGACUCACCUCAAAUCCAUUGGCGGCCCCCGCGUCGGCCACGAGCGCAGCAGAAACGCGAACUCGUGAGCCCGUCCGGGCGGCUCCCAGAAGCUACACCCACCCAGUUUGACCUCGGAUCUGGUAGGGAUACCCGCUGAACUUAAGC